CCUACGGAAGGCAGCAGUGAGGAAUAUUGGACAAUGGGCGCAAGCCUGAUCCAGCCAUGCCGCGUGCAGGAAGACGCAUCUAUGGUGUGUAAACUGCUUUUGUACGGGAAGAAACACCCCCUCGUGAGGGGGCUUGACGGUACCGUAAGAAUAAGGAUCGGCUAACUCCGUGCCAGCAGCCGCGGUAA
rnacentral:rRNA from 1 species